UACGUAGGUGGCAAGCGUUGUCCGGAUUUACUGGGCGCAAAGGAUGCGUAGGCGGACAUUUAAGUCAGAUGUGAAAUACCCGAGCUUAACUUGGGUGCUGCAUUCGAGACUGUGUAGCUAGGGUACGGAAGAGGGAAGCGGAAUUUCAGGUGUAGCGGUGAAAUGCGUAGAUAUCUGAAGGAACACCAGUGGCGAAAGCGGCUUCCUGGUCCAGUACCGACGUUCAGGCACGAAAGCGUGGGAGCAACAGG
rnacentral:rRNA from 1 species